UACGUAGGGAGCGAGCGUUGUCCGGAUUCAUUGGGCGUAAAGAGCUCGUAGGCGGUUCGGUAAGUCGGGUGUGAAAUCUCCGUGCUCAACACGGAGCGGCCACCUGAUACUGCCGUGACUCGAGUCCGGUAGGGGAGUGUGGAAUUCCCGGUGUAGCGGUGAAAUGCGCAGAUAUCAGGAGGAACACCGGUGGCGAAGGCGGCGACCUGGUCCAAUAUUGACACUCAUACACGAAAGCGUGGGGAUCAAACAGG
rnacentral:rRNA from 1 species